rnacentral:rRNA from 1 species
UACGAAGGGGGCUAGCGUUGCUCGGAUUGACUGGGCGUAAAGGGCGCGUAGGCGGAUAGUACAGUCAGGCGUGAAAUUCCUGGGCUCAACCUGGGGGCUGUCGUUGAUACGUAUUGUCUGGAGUUCGGAAGAGGGUCGUGGAAUUCCCAGUGUAGAGGUGAAAUUCGUAGAUAUUAGGAAGAACACCAGUGGCGAAGGCGGCUCACUGGUCCGGUACUGACGCUGAGGUGCGAAAGCGUGGGGAGCAAACAGG